rnacentral:lncRNA from 1 species
GUGAUGACUGCCCGAGAUGACUGCCCGGGAUGACUGCCUUAGAUGACUGCCCGAGAUGACUGCCCGAGAUGAUGUUACUUGGAAGACUUUUCUAUCUCGUUCGUUGACACACAUCAGCAAGAUGAGGUCACAUCGACGGUCGGUAAAUUUCGACCUCAAACAGGACGAGACAACGAAUGCUGACACGAACCAACCAACCACACAACCAAACUCAAACUAACCUAAAACAUUCAAACAUAUCUUUAGGCGGCGGCGAAGCUCCCGGGUAGACGAAGUGAAAAUCUCUCGCUCGACGGCAAGAACUCGCCUCUGGAAUUCUCGACCCCAAGGAACUGCCAACGAUGACCUUCUCGGAGCAGAAAAAAAGCUAUUCGGAGGCAUGUCAUUUAGUGUUAUCAGUUAACUGGACUUUGUGAGAGUUUUCUUGCAAAAUGUUUGCCAAGGUGGCGAUCGAAGGUGGACAGCAAGAUCGAAGCUCAGCAAGAUUGAAGAUUGUUCGAGGAAGAAGGAGUUCGCCGUUGACUAAAAGUUUUAUCUGAACAGCUAGUUGUCAAGAUGAACGUGAAGAGAAAAAAGAUGAAAUCAGUUCAAGACUCGCCCGGCCAAAUUCAAAAUGGCGAUGCCAAAGAAAACCAUACAC